GAAAUGCCAUUAGCUGAAUGGGGCUGACAUUCCCCCUCUCCCCUCCCCUUAGUCAAGAUAUUCACACAAUUUUCCGAUUGAAUAGUGUAUGUAGUCUCAUCUAUCUCAGAAUCAGGCCCCUAUUAAUAAAACACAGGAGAAUCUGCAAUAUUAAAUGCAGUGUUCAACGUGGUCAAAAAGAGGUCACAUCAGUCCUGAUAUGAAUAAACAGCAAGUGCCAAAGAACUCCAAUUCUUUGCAACUUCAACAUUGCAGGGUUCACAGGUUAUCCACAGGAUAACAUUGAGAUACAGUAUGAUGAAGCGACAGUGGAUUUGCACCAAUCGGUCAAAGCUUUUCCGGCCUCCCAGCAUGUAACUGGGCCCGUCCAUAUAUCCCCGCCUCCUUGCUCAAGCAAAUCAGUUUUUUGUUUGGCACGGCAGGAGCUGGACCAUGGUCAGAGGGCUGCUGGUUCUUGGCAGCCCUAAGCUUUCUUAUUUUAUUUUUAUGGUCUUACUAUUUUUUGAGUGAUUUUUCUAAACAGCGUCUUAUACGUACCUUAGAAAGAGUCACUCCAACAACUCUCUGCCGGGUUGCGACAACGCUUACCCACGAGUACAGUGCUGUUUCGGUUCUUCCAUCUUUAACUCUGCCUCAACACCAGCUAACAUCAGCAGAGUAUCACCAACACAUCAUCUCGCUCAGGACCCAGGAGAGUAACAGAACAGGAAACUCUUCUGUGUGGGAUCAGCUAUACUCUGAGUCUGUUGGGGGCGUACAGAUCUCUCUGUUAUUGGUCUAGGGGAGGGAACUUUCUCAUUCAUGAUGAGUCAUUGGUCAGUGUUAGGGCUUUUGUUGCUGGUUUCUGGUUUCCUGUCCAUCACAUGCUCCUUUGAAUAUAUUCUUUUGUUCCAGUAAAAGUGACUUCAUAUUCCUACAUUUAAUCAUAUUUACUCAUGGCAAUGUGCUACAACUUAAUCACAGGCAUCAAAUUAAUCCACACAUUAGUCUGGUUACUUUGACACCAAGCACGAAAUGUCCAUCUUGCUCCGCUCCAACA